CCGUUGCAUGCAACGGCGAAUUGUAGUCUCGAGAAGCGUUUUCCCGGCGGAUCUUCCCUGCCUAAGUAGCUUGGAACAGCUCAUCAGAGAGGGUGACAAUCCCGUUCGUGGCAGGGCGGACCGCUCAUGAUACGCUUUCCAUGAGUCGGGUUGCUUGGGAAUGCAGCCCAAAAUUGGUGGUAAACUCCAUCUAAAGCUAAAUAGAGGCACGAGACCGAUAGCGAACAAGUACCGUGAGGGAAAGAUGAAAAGAACUUUGAAAAGAGAGUUAAAAAGUGCGUGAAACCGUUAGAGGGGAAACGGAUGCAGUUAGCAAUGCUCCCGUGAGAUUCAGGUGGUCGUUCUUCGAACAGUGCAGUUGGUGGAUCUGAAUGGACCGUCGCUGCACUGCCUCGUUGUUGGCGUCCGCCGCACUUCUCGCGAGAGUGCGUCAACAGCUGCUGGCUCGUCGGACUACACGGCAUCUGCGGAAGGUAGGCAUCGGGUUCGCCCGGUGCUGUUAUAGCCGCUAGUGUCCCAGUCCGUCGCCGGCAGAGGAGAGCGGUGCAUGCUUGCUCGUUCGCGAGCGGGCUGGCGCCCUGUGGCGUUCUACGAGUCCUCCGGGGUGCACUGCGUGCAGUGCAUCACUCAGGGCGAGGAGGCGUGCAGCAAGCGCACACGAUGCACCAUGGUUGUUGGCGGCCAUAUGGCUUUAUCCGACCCGUCUUGAAACACGGACCAAGGAGUCUAACAUGUGCGCAAGUCCUGGGGUGACCGAAACCCAGAGGCACAAUGAAAGUGAAGGCUGCCUCGUUGCAGCCGAGGUGAGAUCCUAGUCCCACGGGGCAGGGCGCAUCAUCGACCGACCUGUUCUACUCUUAGAAAGGUUUGAGUAUGAGCGUACAUGCUGGGACCCGAAAGAUGGUGAACUAUGCCUGAGUAGGGUGAAGCCAGAGGAAACUCUGGUGGAAGCUCGUAGCGAUUCUGACGUGCAAAUCGAUCGUCGAACUUGGGUAUAGGGGCGAAAGACUAAUCGAACCAUCUA
rnacentral:rRNA from 1 species